rnacentral:rRNA from 1 species
GACGAACGCUGGCGGCGUGCUUAACACAUGCAAGUCGAGCGGUAAGGCCCUUUCGGGGGUACACGAGCGGCGAACGGGUGAGUAACACGUGGGUGACCUGCCCUCAGCUCUGGGAUAAGCCUGGGAAACCGGGUCUAAUACUGGAUAUGACUCCAUGACGCAUGUUGUGGGGUGGAAAGCCUUGUGCGGCUGAGGAUGGGCCCGCGGCCUAUCAGCUUGUUGGUGGGGUGANGGCCUACCAAGGCGACGACGGGUAGCCGGCCUGAGAGGGCGACCGGCCACACUGGGACUGAGACACGGCCCAGACUCCUACGGGAGGCAGCAGCGGGGAAUUUUUCGCAAUGGGCGAAAGCCUGACGAAGCAACGCCGCGUGUAGGAUGAAGGCCCUAGCGGUCGUAAACU